rnacentral:rRNA from 1 species
UGGGUUUGCUUUGACAACCAGGAUGUUGGCUUAGAAGCAGCCAUCAUUUAAAGAAAGCGUAACAGCUCACUGGUCAAGCGAACCUGCGCGGAAAAUGUAACGGGGCUCAAGCCAGACGCCGAAGGUAUGGGUGUGCGUAAGCACGCGGUAGCGGAGCGUUCCGUAAAGCCGAUGAAGGUGAGGCGCGCCUUGCUGGAGGUAUCGGAAGUGAGAAUGCUGACAUGAGUAGCGAUAAAGAGGGUGAGAGACCCUCUCGCCGAAAGCCCAAGGGUUCCUGCGUAAAGCUAAUCUGCGCAGGGUUAGUCGGCCCCUAAGGCGAGGCCGAAAGGCGUAGUCGAUGGGAAUCAGGUGAAUAUUCCUGAACCAGUUGGAAGUGACGGAUCUGGUAAAUUGUCAGGGCUUAUUGGAUUGCUCCUGGCAGUGAACAGGUCCCUGGAAAUAACUCCAACGGAGACCGUACCCGAAACCGACACAGGUGGGCAGGUAGAGUAUACCAAGGCGCUUGAGAGAACUGUGCUGAAGGAACUCGGCAAAUUGCACGCGUAACUUCGGGAUAAGCGUGACUCUCUUUUGGGCAACCAGAUGAGAGUGGCACAAGCCAGGGGGUAGCGACUGUUUAUCAAAAACACAGGGCUCUGCGAAGCCGCAAGGCGACGUAUAGGGUCUGACGCCUGCCCGGUGCCUGAAGGUUAAAAGGAGGGGUGCAAGCUCUGAAUUGAAGCCCAGGUAAACGGCGGCCGUAACUAUAACGGUCCUAAGGUAGCGAAAUUCCUUGUCGGGUAAGUUCCGACCUGCACGAAUGGCGUAACGACUUCCCCACUGUCUCCAGCACAGGCUCAGCGAAAUUGAAUUCCCCGUGAAGAUGCGGGGUUCCCGCGGUCAGACGGAAAGACCCUAUGAACCUUUACUGCAGCUUCGCCUUGGCGUUAGCAACAACAUGUGUAGGAUAGGUGGGAGGCUAUGAAACUCGGGCGCCAGUUCGAGUGGAGCCAUCCUUGAAAUACCACCCUUAUUGUUGCUGACGUCUAACCGCGGCCCGUUAUCCGGGUCCGGGACAUGGCGUGGCGGGCAGUUUGACUGGGGCGGUCGCCUCCCAAAGUGUAACGGAGGCGCGCGAUGGUGGGCUCAGACCGGUCGGAAAUCGGUCGUCGAGUGCAAUGGCAUAAGCCCGCCUGACUGCGAGACUGACAAGUCGAGCAGAGACGAAAGUCGGCCAUAGUGAUCCGGUGGUCCUGCGUGGAAGGGCCAUCGCUCAACGAAUAAAAGGUACUCUAGGGAUAACAGGCUGAUUUUGCCCAAGAGUCCAUAUCGACGGCAAAGUUUGGCACCUCGAUGUCGGCUCAUCACAUCCUGGGGCUGGAGCAGGUCCCAAGGGUUCGGCUGUUCGCCGAUUAAAGUGGUACGUGAGCUGGGUUCAGAACGUCGUGAGACAGUUUGGUCCCUAUCUGCCGUGGGUGUACGAGACUUGAGAGGAUCUGUCCCUAGUACGAGAGGACCGGGAUGGACACACCUCUGGUGGACCUGUCAUGGCGCCAGCUGUGCAGCAGGGUAGCUAAGUGUGGAAUAGAUAACCGCUGAAAGCAUCUAAGCGGGAAACUAACCUCAAAACAAGGUCUCGCUGAGAGCCGUGGAAGACCACCACGUUGAUAGGCCGGGUGUGGAAGUGCGGCGACGCAUGGAGCUUACCGGUACUAAUAGCUCGAUAGGCUUGAUCGUUCUU